UACGUAGGGAGCAAGCGUUGUCCGGAAUCAUUGGGCGUAAAGCGCGCGUAGGCGGCCCGAUAAGUCCGCUGUGAAAGUCAACGGCUCAACUGUUGGAUGCCGGUGGAUACUGUCGGGCUAGAGUACGGAAGAGGCAAGUGGAAUUCCUGGUGUAGCGGUGAAAUGCGCAGAUAUCAGGAGGAACACCGGUGGCGAAGGCGGGUCUCUGGGCAACAACUGACGCUGAGGAGCGAAAGCGUGGGGAGCGAACAGG
rnacentral:rRNA from 1 species